CUUCUGAUAGAUGCUAUCUCUCUCUUGGAGUUUGAGAGAUACAUCAGCCAAGAUAGCUUGAAGCUUGUGCUGGAAAGAAUCAUCUCCUGCUGUUGUCUGCUUCUGUGAUUCUUCAGUGAGCAUAGAUAUCUUCUUGCUUAGAUCAUCAGAGCUCUUCAGUAGUUCCUGCUUCAAAGCAGUUUGAUCCUCUUGAUUGGUAGCUUCAGGUUGAGCAAUGGAUUGGAC
rnacentral:lncRNA from 1 species